CGGGGUGCAGCAGGCGCGAAAACUUUACAAUGCUGGCAACAGCGAUAAGGGGACCUCGAGUGCCAGGUUACAAAUCUGGCUGUCGUGAUGCCUAAAAAGCAUUGCAUAGCAAGGGCCGGGCAAGACCGGUGCCAGCCGCCGCGGUAACACCGGCGGCUCGAGUGGUAACCGUUAUUAUUGGGUCUAAAGGGUCUGUAGCCGGCCGGAUAAGUCUCUUGGGAAAUCUGGCAGCUUAACUGUCAGGCUUUCAGGAGAUACUGUCUGGCUCGAGGCCGGGAGAGGUGAGAGGUACUUCAGGGGUAGGGGUGAAAUCUUGUAAUCCUUGAAGGACCACCAGUGGCGAAGGCGUCUCACCAGAACGGACCUGACGGCAAGGGACGAAAGCUAGGGGCACGAACCGGAUUAGAUACCCGGGUAGUCCUAGCCGUAAACGAUACUCGCUAGGUGUCGGCCACGGUGCGACCGUUGUCGGUGCCGUAGGGAAGCCGUGAAGCGAGCCACCUGGGAAGUACGGCCGCAAGGCUGAAACUUAAAGGAAUG
rnacentral:rRNA from 1 species